rnacentral:rRNA from 1 species
GACGAACGCUGGCGGCGUGCUUAACACAUGCAAGUCGAACGGAAAGGCACUGCUAUUGUGGGGUGCUCGAGUGGCGAACGGGUGAGUAACACGUGAGUAACCUGCCCUAGACUUUGGGAUAACUUCAGGAAACUGGGGCUAAUACCGGAUAGGAGCUCCUGCUGCAGGGUGGGGGGUGGAAAGUUUCGGCGGUCGGGGAUGGACUCGCGGCUUAUGAGCUUGUUGGUGGGGUGGUGGAUUGCCCAGGAUUUGGCGGGUCGGCGGCCUGGGAGGGGGGCCGGCCACAUUGGGACUGAGGUACGGCCCAGUCUCGAACGGGAGGCAGCAGUGGGAAAUAUUGCACAAUGGGCGGAAGCCGGAGGCAGAAGCCCCGCGUUUGGGAUGACGGCUUUCGGGUUGUAAACCGCUUUCGCCUGUGACGAAGCGUGAGUGACGGUAAUGGGUAAAGAAGCACCGGCUAACUACGUG